rnacentral:lncRNA from 1 species
GUUGAGAGAAGAGUCGCAACGUUGGUGUGUUGGUGGUAGUAUUGAUGUGGCGGCACGCACGAAGGAGAGGUAGGUCGAGGUGAGGAUAGAAGCGACGAACGGGGAGGUGAGUAAGUCGAGGAGAGAAUAAGGAAGAGGAGGUGAGGGAGGAAGAGACGAAGAAGGAAGGGGAGGGCGGUGAGGAGGUUUCGAGGAGGCGGCCUUGAGAACACGGACCACGGAGAGAUCCGCGGACGC